ensembl:lncRNA
UGGAUGGUUCAGCUUUGUGGUAUCAGCAACACACAGCUGUCCAGAGACCAAAUCCUUGACAUGUCUCUCCACUAAGAAAAUGUCAGCUAUUGUUGACACCUAAAGACAACAUUAGAAGAUAGCACAGGCUAUGAUAAAUAAAGACUUCAAACUCUAUUCAUUCCCAGUUAGGAUGAAGAGGUGUAGGAAAUUAUCCAGAAGAUUAUUUGAGGAGGAAAAAGUAAAGCUAAAUAUAAAACUGCAGUGUGGACACAUAGGACAAAUUAAUGUAUGGCUGUCCAUAAUUAUAGUGCUCUUCUCUAAACCAGUAUACAUACACAGAAGGGUGCCUGGUCAUUAGUGUGCCUGCCUGCACUCUCCAUACUCAAGGCUGGGGACAGCAGCGCACGACGGAUGUGAGAGUGAGAUGGGUCAGUUUAUCCCAGUAUCCCCUCUAUAGUAGUGUAACCAAAGUUUGAGGGUGUGUUAUAGGUUUCCCCCAUGUCCAACAGGCAGAGAAUUCAACUGUUAUUGUUCCAGCGAUAGAGCUUUAGUUCAAGCAGUAUCAUCUCAUGCUUUUAGAUAUGAGUGGUCCCUGGUUCAAUCUCCAAUGUAUCGGCCAUCUCGCCAGCAAGCACCUGGGGACUGUACCAGAGGAGCUCAUACUAGACCUCUCCCCCUUCAAGUGUAGCAAAGACUGACAGUGAUCGCACUUCCUUCAGUGGCCCUGGAGGCAGUAUGUAUGCUCCUCUGAAUGCACACUGAGUUACAUCUUUCCCAGGGAUGAAAUUAACUUAAAGCACUUACCGGUACGCAGGGCGGCCAGGCUCCUGGGCAAGGUGGGGUGUGUGGGGGUGUGGGGGUGUGUGUGGGGGGCAGCUCUGGAUCCCCAGUUGGGACUGGACCUCAGGCAGAAAGGGCCAGGCUGGGGCCAGACUCCCCCAGCCAGCCCUUCAGCGCUGCCCGGGGCUCCGGUGGCAUUUUAAAAGGCCUGGGACUCUGGCAGCGAUUUAAAGGGUCCGGGGCAGCUGCCCCUUUUGCCCACCCCCAGCCCCAAUCAGUGGCCCUGCUGGUAUGGUACUUAAAGCGCUGCCGUUGGCUUUAACAUCGGCUGUGUACCGGUGGCCAUUUUCUUACCGGUAUGCUGUACUGGCCUGUACUGACUUACUUUCACAUCUGAUCUUUCCUGACAUUGUUUUGUUUAUCUUUACUGUGAUUUUACACCAAUAACUGUAAUCAAUGAACAAAAUAUCUCCAAACAGAUUUUAAAUUAAUCUAUAAAUUACUGCCUUGACAGAAGCAACACUUCAGUCUGUGCAGUGUUAAUAUGUGAAUAUUUGUCUUUUCUAUUUCUCUUAUUUUAUCAGAAUAUGUUUUGCUGGAACUUUUCAUAUGAUGCCAAUGGAAUGCUAUGCAUAUAGUAGACUAAGAAAACCAUAUGGCCCUAAGGAGUGGGUUAUUUUGAUGUGUGCAUAUAACAUGAAUGUAAAUGAAAAUUAUCCUUAUACUCUGAUGGGAGAAUAGACUCUGGAAAUUAUUAUUAUUAUAUUUUAUGUCUUCAACUAUAUUUGUGCUGCCAGUAGCAAUGACAGCUGAAGUCCACUGUUUGUGCUUGUGCGUGUAUCAGUGACCAGAUAUAGUAAUCUACAGUCUUCCUGUCACAGUAUCUAGUUUAACUUUCAUGCAUUUCAUUGCUUGACAAAGAUAUAUUGGUAAAUUACUUUGUAGGAAGAUGUAUAAAGAGUUUGGCUGUAUACCACUUUUAACACACUGAAAGCCAUUUUCCAUUGGAAAAAAGAAUGGCACCUACUUUUUGAGCCAGAAAAUGGUUCAUCAUAACAGCUUAAGGGUGGCUUAGAGAAAAAUUAUUUUUCAUCUCCUAUGAUCAUCUAGAACUUAGCAAUGAAACUUGAAUUUUUAUUUUUAUUAAUUUUUUUAUUAUAAAAGUAGUGAUGAUAAAGAAAUACAUAACUUAGGCAAAGCAUCAUAUACUGUUGCUUGCUACAGACAUCAUAUACUGUUGCUUGCUACUGGCAUAUGCAUUAAUGUCUUCAUUAUCAAAUCCUAAUCUACUUAUUCUGACUAUAGUAGGAGCCAAAGACAAAUAAAACAUAUAAAACUUUAAUUGCA